AUUCAGUAUAUAAUGUACUUUUAGCCAUUUAAAUUUAUUUACUUUUUGUUGUUAUCUUCAAGUCUAAAAAUGAAGGAUCUUUGCAGUAUUACAGUUGGAUAACUGAUAGAGUAUCCUUCAUUCUUUCAAGCAAGAUUUUUUAUUUCAGAAUGGAACAAAAUCAGGUGAUUUUACCCCUUAAAAAUGUUAUUUUUAACAAGAUUUAUCUAUCCCUCUGGAUGUGCUACCCAAUGCAAUUGCAGCAACCAAGUAGACUGUACUAUCUUUAUCCUAACAAUUCCCAUAUUAAGGUCUUCAGCCAGUCAAAACCCUAGACUAGAAUAUUCAGUUUCCCACUCAACAUCUCUGCUAGGCUAUCUUGUAGAUAUUCUAAUUUUAAUGCCUAUAAGUGAUCUCCAGUCAUUAUUCCCAUACCUCUUCCACCCAGAAAGUUUCUCAUCUCAGUUUAUGAUAAUUGCAUCUUUCUAGUUGCUCAGGUCCCUAAUUUUGGCAUCCCUUUGACCCCUCUCUUUACUCCCCGUGUUAUAAUUCAUCAGAAAAUGUUGCUGACUUUACAGUAAAAAUACAUCCAGAAUUUAACUACCUUCCCUCACUUCCUCCAUUUUCACUCUAGGCUAGCCCACAUUCACCUGCUACUGGAUAAUUGCAAUAGCCUCUAACUUGUUUUCCUCUUUUAACCCUUUAAAAUCAAUUUUCAACACAGCAGCUAGGGUAAUCAUUUAACAGAAAGUCAGAUCAUAUUAUUUUGUUUUAUUAUUGUUUGUUAUGUAUAUGUAAGCUCUGUAAGAGCAUUGAUUACAGUUUUAUUCACUUAUGUAUCAUAAGUUUCUAGAACAGUGUCUGGCCUGUGACUGAACAAAUGAAUAUCAAUUUUUCAAAGAGAACACUGAUACUUAGAGAAAGAAAGAAACUUACUUCCUUCAUAUUUCAUAUCUCAUAGAGAUUAGAAGAAUUGAACCCAGGUCUUUGGACUCCACUCUUGUGUUCUUUUUCACUAUUUUAUGCUUCUUCCUAGACAUGUUGACGGAAUCCUCAAGGUGAAUAUCAAGAUUUUCUUGAGGAAUUGUGUUAAACUUACUUGCAGAAGUGUGUGUUUAAGUCAUGAUUCUGUCCCUCAACAGGCACAAUCUAAGUAACACAAUUUUUCACUUGCAAAAGUCAGUUGAACUAAGAUGAUGUCUAAGGUUCAUUGUGCAGCCAAAUAUUAGUAAGUCCAGUGACACUACCCAGACGUUUCCCAAUUCUUCAAUAGCAGCAUAAAUAACUGUCAUUUGGAGGCAUCAGCAGGACAAGAAAGCCUACCAAAUAUGUUGAUUGUUUCUUAGAUUCCCAUGUAUAGCCAGAUCUAGGAACAUUUUAAAGUGGGGCAAGGUUUCCCAAGGCUGACUGCUAACUGGUGACAUUGGUACAGCUGGUGCCCUCACUGAAGAUAAAUGCAAAUGUGGUUGUUUGGGUAAAACAGUGUGACAUCUAAUUACUUAUUUAUUUUAUGUCUUUGCUUUGUGGACUCAAACUCACAUCCAAAUUAGGGGUGUGAUGCCUUAGGGUUUAUAACAAGUCUUUGUGUGGUUUUUCUUGCCUCUUAGACUAGAGCUCACUGUGUAUAUAUAUUUGUGUAAAUAUUUGUGUUUAUUCUUCUGCCUCAAAUACAAUGGGUCUUUGUCUAAAAUACACGAUUCCAAUCCCAAUUGGCUCUUUAUUCCAGCCAAGCCAGUUUUAUGAUGGUUCCUCUUAAUCUCACUUUUGUUUUUCUUGAUCCUUUUUUCUUUCUGUCUUUUAUUUUUGCCUUCUUUUUUUUUUUUCCUUUUUUUUAAUCUUUCACUCAUACUAUUUUCCUCAAGAAACGUCUACCCUCUUUCUGACAAUCCUAACUCACCAUUAUUUAAAGAUGCAAUUUACCUAUAGGAAACCUUAUCUGGCAGUUGUACUCAAGUCAGAGCACUGAUUUUCUCUUUCAUUCCCAAAGUUUCUGGGGGUUCUGUUUAUUACCAUUACUAUUUUAUGGCUUGUUGUUCUUAUUUGUUUCUUUGUUGAUCGUCUCCCUGUAGUUUUAUACACUGUGUCACUCACUAGAUUGCAAACUUUAGUAUGCUGACUUCUGUAUCUCUUAAGUUUUCCUUUUCACAUAUGAAUACAGGUUUGAAUAGAGUGCAGAAAUCUCCCUAGAAGUCUGUGUUUUGGUCAUAUAUUGCUUCAUACCAAACCACCCCAAAACGUGAUGCUUAAAACAUCCAUUUUAUUUUAUUCAUGGUUUUAGAGGUGAGGAACUUCAGAAAUAGCUUGACUGGGUGUUUUGUCUUUCAUCCCGAUGGUGUCAGCUGAGGCAGUGGGACUGGAGGAAAUACUCCUAGAUGACUUUUUCAUUCACUGUCAGGUGACUUGGUGUUUCUUGGCCUGCUUCUACCUGCAUGGCAGCCCAUCAGCCAGAGCCUUUCCACUUGGCUUGGGCUUCUCACAGCGCAGACAUGGGGUAAUCACACUUCUUGCAUGUGAUCACACUUCAACCCUAUUGCUUUAUUGGUCAAAACAAUCACAGGGCCUCCAAGGCUUAAGGAAGUGAAGAAAUAGACUCCAGCUCUUGAUGUUCGAAAAGGGACAAGGUCACAUGACAGGAGAGCCUGCAGAAUGGGUAUCAUUGUUGAGGUCACCUUUGAAAAAUAUAAUCUGACUAAUCUGCAGAGAAAAUUCAACAAUUUUAUUUAAAAGUGCAUUGGAGUAAAAUGCACAAUAUAUACAUUGUAGAAUCAAACAUUAGAAUGUCUAAAAUGAAUAAACCAAUCAUUUUAGACCAACCAGCCCCAAAACAAACAUAUAGACCAACGAUUUAUUAAGAGAAUUUGCACAAUUAGAUUCUGGUCUCUGGUUCACCUGAUAACUAUAAAAUGAUGGCCUGUUGGUGUUACGGUAAACUAUUCUUUGAUUAAAUUGAAUGUGAUAAUCACUAAUUAUAUUGUAGAAGCUUUUGCUGUGUCCCAUAUAGUGAUGACACCACCCACCAUGGUAUUCUGUCUGUAAAUGGCCUAGAAUUUAGUUUGAAGUCUUCUUAAGACACUUAGGGCUUUUUCAGUUUGGCUUUUCACUUUCAAGUGGCAUAAAUCCCAGUAUUACAGUAUUCUUUUGAGUUCUGCAAAUUAAUCUAUAAAACAAGCAAGAAAAUAAAUUGCAUUAUAUUACUUUAUUAACCUAACACAUAUUAUGUUUAAAAUGUUUUGUAUGGUAUAUAUGAUGAAAAGAUAGAUUUUGGUUAAAUUGAAUAAAAUAAGGUCCUAGUUCUGUGAUCUAAGAUUACAAUCCUGUCUGUAUCUGCAUGUGUGUACAUGUGUCUAUGCAUGUAUUUUUGUGUAUUAGGAUUUGAGUGAGGUUGCUGAUGCAGGCUAUGUAGAGAACCAGACAGUCUGUCUUACAGGUUUAAGGUAGAACAUUGGUAUUGUCUCACUGUAUUAGUAGUAUUCCCACCUACUAAAUUCGAAGUUCUUUGAGAUCAGUACUCAGAUCAGUAUGAGACAGUAUUCAUCUCUCAUUUCCCCAUGGACUAUGGCAAUAAUACCUGGCACAUUUUACAUAUGCAAUAAAUAUUGAAUACUCAAACCUUUGGAGUAGAGUUUCUAUGCAAAUAGAAUUACUCCUGCUGGUAAACUAAUACUGGUUUAAGCACACUGGAAAUUUGAGGUCAAAAUAGGCUACUUCAACUUCCCAGAACCUUAAGGAAACUUGCCCCUUAUGGCUGUUUGGCUCAUUGCGUGCAUUGUGUGUCAAUCUUGCCGUGCCUGAUCUCCCACCUUGAGCAAGCCUAUUAUUUACACUCACUUACCUGUCAUCUUAGAAACUGCAGAUUAAAAAAAUCUUUUCCAGAGGUCUUGGAAUCAAACAUCCCUCACUGACACAUUACUGGAUAUGGAAUGAAUCAGAAACAUGUGGAUUAAAUUUCCCGAAAAAUUUCUUUGGUUAUAAAAAUUAAGGAAGAAAGUGUUUAGCCAGAUGCCUCAUGGGUAAUGCCAAACUCAAAUUGUUUGAAAAAUAUGUGUGCUGGUUAGGUAAACAAACAAAUAAAAAAAUAAAUUUUACUUCCCUCUUACCUUGUAAAACCUCACAUUCACUGUAAAAACCUCAAGUCAGUUUGAAGCUAGGUUUUAUAAGAGGUUUUGAAAAGUCUAUGGUUCUCCGCUUUGAUCACUGGAGACAAGAGCUAUAUGGAUAAAUACUUCUGAGAAUGCACAUAAUCAAGGCUGAUGUUUUUCAAUAGAUUUCAAAGCAUUGAAUGAGGUCCCUUCCAUGACAUUUGGGAACUACAAUUCAAGAUGAGAUUUGGAUGAGGACAUAGCCAAACCAUAUCAGGUACUGAUUCUUGGAUUCUUUAAUCCUACAUUAUUUCUAUGUUAAAGAAAAUGAUAUUAAGGAUGCUGCCUAUAUUUCAUAGGUUCCUUGAUGUUAAAGACAUUAAAACCUACCUAAUAUUAUUCUACCUCGAGAAAUAUUAAAAUAAUUAAAAUAAUAUUUAACAUAAUUUUAUAAAGAGUCAUAAGAAUAAUAAAUGGUGAUUAUUUGAGAACCAGAUAUUAGAAGUAAAAGGAUUAGUCUUAUUUUCCAGAUGAAGAAAUAAAACUAAUUGCAUGCCAAUUGCAUGUAGUUAACCAAUGUCAGAUCUAGGUCAAGUCUAGUUUAUCUCACUUUCAGCAUUGGGCUCUGGAAUGUUCUACAAGAUCAGAGCUUUAACGAGAGUCAUCUAAGGAAUGGGGGACUCUAUGAUGCAUUACCAAAAGCCUUUAGACUAAAGUUAAGUGACUUAUCCAGCUCCACACAUGCAUUUAGUAUACAAUAGGGUCAUGGAAUGUUAGAAUGGGAAGGAGCUGUGGAGAAGGUGGUUCAGCUCUCUCGUUUUUAAGAUAAGAAAUGUUUUGUGUUUUGUGAGGUUUUUAUGCUCCAGCUGCAUCCUGGCUCGAGUUUCUUCUUCAGGUUGAAGAACUAUUCUCUAACUCAGUGUUCUGUAAGUCAUUAAAGCCUAAAUUUGGUUGGCAUGAUUAUUUGAAUUAUGCCUCAUUGGCAUUAAAAUAAUAAAAAGUUCAGUCUUCAGACUACUUUCUAAGUCAGGUUUUCUAGUAGCAAUCUCAAAAUCUUGCCACUUCUGCCACUUUUCUACCCAGCCAUUGAAAACAAACUUCUGAAUUAUAAAAAUAAAGAAUUUAAAGGAAAAAAAAAGCAAUAUUUGAUUGAGUUGGCUGGGCUUUCUUUACUUUUUUUGUAUUCAAGUGGACAAUUUGUACAAUUUCCCUUCCUUUGAUCCUAGCUGCCCACACUACCAAGUUGCAGGCAUGAAUUACUUGCCCAUUUCUUCAUCCAUUGACUUUGAAGGACUGGGAAAAAAACUCACCCAUUGUGAAUUUCCAGACCGAAAGUGCCUACUUUCAGUUGGUGCUGCUGAAUUGGACCAUAUGAGAGGAGGCAGCUCCAGCCAGGGCUGCCCCCAAGCCACUCACCCUGCCAAACCUCUGGGUCCCGCCGACAUCAUUUCCUCAACGAUGAAGUUCCCCAUGUGUGCCCACUGGCAUGUGCUUAGAAGACCAGGAAUACCCAAUCGGGAAUGAAUUAGUCGGGGAGAAGUAUACAACACAGAGCUUUCUAUUUAACUUGGAACUAUGAUAACCGUGAAAUGGCUCUGGGUAUUUUGUGAAUCAGAUUGCUGUCAAAUCCAUGUAUUUUUUUUAUUUGGAUACACUUCAGUGAUUGUACUGUUCUUUGGUAAAAACUGCUUGAUGUUCAAAAACCUUGAAGCCAUUUAGACCACGUUCUUUCCCUCUUUUCAAAUAGAAGUUUGCAUUUUGUCCACCACAAAGAGAAUGCAAAUGCCAAGAGGUCUGAAUUCACUUUCGAAGUCCAAACCCAGAAACUCUGAUUUUCUUUUCAUCUUGGCUAGACACAUUCCCCAGGGCUCUAGACCUUACAUCAAAUGGGACAGUAUCAUGUCCUAAUGAGGAGUGCAAACUGCAAGGUAGAUUACCUGAAUUCAAAUCCUUUGACUGAAACUUUGAGCAAAUUGCUCCAUUUUUUUUAGUCUUGGUUUACUUCAUCUUCUAUUGGGAUAAUAAGAGUAAAAAUUUCCUUGUGGUGUUGUAUGUGGAGCAUUUAGGAACCUGACACACAAUAUUUAAUUUCUGAGAAUAUUGGGAGAAGUACCAUUUUGGUAAGGCUUCUUUGCAUGGGGUAUUUUUUUAAAAAUAUAAAUGAAUUGAAAUAAUAUUUAAUAAAGCAGUUUUUAAUAAAAAAGACCAAAGCAGUUAUUCAAUGUUCCACAAUGUCAGUUUAAAAGUUAUUUAAAAUAUUGUGAAUAUUAUUUAUGCAACAAUUUCUGUCCAACAUAUUGCAGUAGUAAUACCCUUUCUUUACCUUUUCUUCUUUUUUAUGCUUUAGCCCAAACUAAAGUCAUUCCCAUUUUUAUUAAUCUUAAAUCAAUGUCUUCUCCUAAUUUCCCUUGGUUCCCAUACCCCUGAGUGCCUAUUAAGGGCAUUUAGAUAUUUUUUAGCUUAAUUUUAAGAAUAAUUUUCUCAAGGAAAUGUUCUAAUAGAGGCGAGAGGCUAAAAGAGUGUAGAAACAAGACUCACAAAGAUAAGAAGGCAAGAGGAAAGAGGGAGGAAUAGGCUUACAGAUACCAGAAAGAUGAGCUAGAAAAUUCCUGUAAGUAAGAGGGAGGAGAAAUCAAACUUAUGUAACAUGUGAGUGCUAGUAAACCAUCUGCAAUGUUUUAGUAGAAUUCGUGUAGAUCCUGAUAAUAGAUGAGUUAUGUAACUAUGGAGAGUUUUGUGAGAAACUCAAAGUUAGGACAAAAAAUUUAAAUUGAUUUUAGCAGGAGCACUGCAUUGGGAUGAGGGGCCAGCAGGACAUUGGGUGUUACAUUUACUUCACAGGAAUAUUAAAGUAUGUGAUUCAUAGAAGAUCUUGAGUAAAUAUAUGUCAAGUAAAAUGAAUAAAUGAAUGAUUAAAUCAAAAGCAAACAAAAUACAAUAACCAAAUAUGGGUUAGCAGUAUAAUUAAAUUUAUAUUUGUAUUUCAAGUAUAGACUUGUAUGAAUUGAAUGUUCUGAGAUCUGCACCAUUCUAAUAAAAACUGCAUAUUAAAAUAAUAUGAAACCAAAGCAUACUAUAUUGAAAGGUCAAAAUUCUGGACUUUCUUGAAUGAGAGGGGAAAUAAACUAAAUGUGCCUUUCUUUUCGCUUCUCAGUUUGCGAGGGGAGAUAAGUAGAAAAGUAAACUGGGCCAAUAAAUCAUCAAAACCUAUCCUACCUAUCCCAGGAGAUGGUGAACAGCCCAGAGGGACUGAAGCUACAGAAACGGCAAAGACCAAUUCCAAGGAUGGCUUGGAGGGUCAGCCAUGAGCUCAAAGGCCUAGAGGCCACAUAUCUCAUGGUAGCAAAGCCUUCAUCUAAGGAAUGGUUAGCACUCAGAUUGUUAUUAAACAAGACACAUUUGUAUACUAGAAAGUGGCCUCCGAAGAAAUUUCCCUCAUAGAAAUUCACUCACCUCACCCUUCCAGCCACACAAGCCAAAGCCCUUGGAUGGGAAGAAGCAGCUGAGGUUCCCUUUAAUGGGCCCUUAAUUUUCAGCCACUUCUCUAUUGACAACUUCUCAACUGUAAUUGUUGAAGGCUUUUACUUCCAGGCUAUUGUAGGUGGCAUUCCCCAGAAGGAAAUUUUGAGGUGGAGAUUAAUGUGCAAUACAUUUAUUAGGAAGCACCCUAGAGAUCAAUACCACUGGAAGGAAGAAUUAAAAAACAGAAUUGUGCAGAGAAAGGUUGAGAUGUGAUUUUCAUACCAACAUAGGAAGAUAUAUCAUGCUAAAGACCUCAGCAUGUCCCUUGGGGAGCUCUGGAGCUGAGAUGACACUUUAGAGUUGGGGCAAUGUGGCUGGGCUUUUAUAUCCCUUCAAUGAUUGGGAUUGGAUAGGACCUUAUUUUUAAAGUAGACAUGAUUUUAGGCAAAGCAUGUUUCUUUAGUUGAGACAAUCUUCCAAGAGUGCUCAUGGCAAAGGGCCAUGCUCUGGCAAUACUGCCAGCAGCUGGGGAAAUAAAUCCCUCAUUCCUGAAGGGGAAUCUGGGCAGCACAGUAUAGCAUUUCACAGGUACUUCCUAUGUAUUUGUUGUAGUUUCCUUUUGGUGUCAAAGUAAACAAAAAAAAAACAGUAAAAUAACUUUAUUCCAUAAGGUGACAUUAAAUCAAGCGGAAUAUGAUGUUUAGCUGAAAUCUGCAUUGCAGAAUUCCUAUUGAACAUUUAACUGACAUCGUGUACUCAUUUUAUUUUAUUAGAUGAUUUUUGUCCAAAGUUUUUAUAAGUAUUUAAUGAAAAGGUUGGGAAAAAAUUUUUAAAUAGGCAAUUCUGAUAUAUAAAAUAGGGCAAGAAUUAUUUUAUUAUUUGAUCUGGCAUUAUGGCAGAUAGAUGUUCUUGGAAAACACUUCCAUUUCUGUUUUCACUUAACAAGAUCUUUAUAGUACAAUGUUUUUCAUACCAACAUAGGGAGACACAUUAACAUAUACCACCUUAGAAGUGAACUAGCUUCCAAGUUUGUUGCUAAGCUGAUGCUUGGAACUUUAAGUUGUUAUGUAGAUUUGUGCUUAAAUUGAUUUAAGUUUCACACAGUUGUUGCUCUAUGAUGUAGCACUAUUGUUGCCAACAACAGAUGGUAUUGUUCUUGGAAAAUGCUGAGUGAAUGCUCCCCGUUAGAUGAUGAUUAUAAAUAAAGAUACCUGGAGUUAGUUAAUGUCAUCUGACUAUACAUAUUUAUAUAUAGUGGUAGAGCAGAGAAAUUUAGAGGGGGAAGAGGAGAUGAUCUAUUCUGGGCACCUUGGAACUCUUCCAUGAUGUCACAUGUCACCUGAGCACUGAAAGAUGAGUGGGGGUUAAUGAGGCGAAAGUAGGAACUGAGGAGUAUCCUUGGGAAAAGAAUUUCAUGCAAAUGCAAGCAGGUGCAAAAGCCCCAAAGUAGGAAGCGAAAUACUGUAACUUGGCUGUAAUAAAUACGUUUUAAACAAUCAUGCUAACUCCAUUUUGCCCACCCUGAGCUAUGUAGGGCAUUCUGUUCUAAAAGCUUGUGGUCUGAGACACCUGGCAUCUUUGUAACCAAUUUUCUGAGAAACAGGGCCCACUGGCCUGUACAUCCUGUACUUGCAACCGUGCAACUGCUACCCCACAUCCUGAGUAAAAAACAACUUUAAGUAGAAAUUUUUUGUUAGGCACCCCCCUGCUUCCCCCUAAGCUGCUCCUUCUGCUUCUGUAAUAAUCUGCUUACCACCCCCGACCCUAAACUGUAUAUAAAAAUGUUAACUGCCCUUUGUUCAUGGCCGAGAGGUUUGAGCUCUAGCUGACUCUCGGAUGCCGGCCAAUUAAAGGUGGACUCUCA